rnacentral:tRNA from 1 species
CAGGGGGUAUUUUAUAUAAAAUAUUAGUUUUGGGGACUAGUGAAAUGGAUUUAAACCUUUCCUCUGA